rnacentral:rRNA from 1 species
AGAUUGAACGCUGGCGGCAUGCCUUACACAUGCAAGUCGAACGGCAGCACGGGAGCAAUCCUGGUGGCGAGUGGCGAACGGGUGAGUAAUACAUCGGAACGUGCCCAAUCGUGGGGGAUAACGCAGCGAAAGCUGUGCUAAUACCGCAUAAGAUCUACGGAUGAAAGCAGGGGAUCGCAAGACCUUGCGCGAAUGGAGCGGCCGAGUGGCAGAUUAGGUAGUUGGUGAGGUAAAGGCUCACCAAGUCCUUACGAUCUGGUACGC